GCAUGCCUUACACAUGCAAGUCGAACGGUAACGCGGGGCAACCUGGCGACGAGUGGCGAACGGGUGAGUAAUGCAUCGGAACGUGCCCAGAAGUGGGGGAUAGCCCGGCGAAAGCCGGAUUAAUACCGCAUGAGACCUGAGGGUGAAAGCGGGGGAUCGCAAGACCUCGCGCUUUUGGAGCGGCCGAUGUCAGAUUAGCUAGUUGGUGGGGUAAAGGCCUACCAAGGCGACGAUCUGUAGCUGGUCUGAGAGGACGACCAGCCACACUGGGACUGAGACACGGCCCAGACUCCUACGGGAGGCAGCAGUGGGGAAUUUUGGACAAUGGGCGCAAGCCUGAUCCAGCCAUGCCGCGUGCGGGAAGAAGGCCUUCGGGUUGUAAACCGCUUUUGUCAGGGAAGAAACGCUCUGGGCUAAUACCCUGGGGUAAUGACGGUACCUGAAGAAUAAGCACCGGCUAACUACGUGCCAGCAGCCGCGGUAAUACGUAGGGUGCAAGCGUUAAUCGGAAUUACUGGGCGUAAA
rnacentral:rRNA from 1 species